AGUAUUUAAUGGAUCAAAUCCUCCCGAUACCUUGGAUAUACCGAAAAACAAAAGCUCAAGAAGACGUUUGCUCGUUACUAAUACACAAAGAACUCAAGCUUAAAGCGUGUAGAUGCGUGUAGAUAUCUUGCGAAAGAUUUACUUUUUUUAUUUAGAGGAAAUUUUCAAAAUUGCAAUUUUUCCAAAAAGUAGACCGAUCCGAACCAUUUUCAAGAGCGCUUGUCCUUGAUCCAAAACGCAUCACUAUACCAAUUUUCAUAAAAAUAUCUCAAGAAUUGCGACGCGUAGCUUAAACACAAAGCUACAUGGACUAGCACAAGACGGACAGACAGGCUAAGAUCAACUCAGAUCACGAUUCUGCAUCGAUCGGUAUAAUAAAUGUUUUGGCUAUCUUAAGCUCUUCUGCGUGUUACAUACGUACACUAAGUUAAUAUACCCUGUACCACAAAGGGUAGGGUGUAAUGAACUUGUAUAUGCAAUGAUGAAGGCCGUAAUCCAACUAUAACUUGGGCAAUUGCUUUGAAAAUUAUUAAAUAAAUGAUCUAAGCAACUGAAGGAAAAGCUUAAUCCUACAUUUCCUCUAACAGCUUCGUAUGGAUCUGGCAACGGGUUGCAUUGUAGACAUGUCCUUUAAUUGACGCAAAACAUUUUGUAUAGUAACCUGCACGCAGGAAUUUGCCUAAAAAAACCUAAAAUCACAGCCGAACAAGCGUUUUUUUUAGACUGAUGAAAGCGGUGAGUGUAAGAUACUCGACCACAGCCGUAUAUAAUUUAGUUUUUUCUGUUAAGUCAGGCAAAUGGUCAGAGAAAUGUUAACGUCACUCUCGUCAUUUGCAUUAACAUCUAAGGCGACAAAGCGUAAAGUGAAGCAAGUGAAAACACUAUAAGAUGUCACGGCUCAUCAUUAAAUAU